rnacentral:rRNA from 1 species
GCCAGCGGCGAUAGCACGUGGAAUACACCAGUUCCCAAUGGACCUGGGACGAUUAAAUUUAAGAAAAGUUACGCGUGGUUAGUGUACGGAUGGGUAACCAUCUGGCCAGUCAUGUGCUGCUGCCU